GACAGAGGGUGCAAACGUUGCUCGGAAUCACUGGGCGUAAAGGGCGUGUAGGCGGACUCGCAAGUCGGGCGUGAAAUCCCUGGGCUCAACCCAGGAACUGCACUCGAAACUGCGAGUCUUGAGUACCGGAGAGGAAAGUGGAAUUCCUGGUGUAGAGGUGAAAUUCGUAGAUAUCAGGAGGAACACCAGUGGCGAAGGCGGCUUUCUGGACGGUAACUGACGCUGAGACGCGAAAGCGUGGGGAGCAAACAGG
rnacentral:rRNA from 1 species